GGAAGGACCAUAGUUCAGUGAUAUAACACCUGCUUUGCAAGCAGAAGGUGCCAGUUUCAAUCCCUGGUACCUCCA